UGAAGCAAGAGCCAUGCUGGAACCAUGGCCCAAUGGGUGAAAGAGUACAAGGGAAAACUUAGAAGAAUAAGGGAAGCAUUAGAAUUGAAAUAAGAAUACAACUAGGCCAACCAACCUCACGAUCGGCAAGGAAGAGGAAACACAUCGCCCUGGGAUUAUUUCUACAGAUUAUCCUGCUCUCCUUGGCAUCCAGGAAAGAUUGCUUGCGGUCUGGGAUAAUGCGUGUAGCUAACAUGGACAGAGAGAGCUCUCAGCACAUUGGUGAUACGCACUAAGCACUUGACGCUUGUCAUUUCAGCGUGGAGUGAUUGCAACUCAAGCCCGUGGUCGUGGUUGAAAAGACCGGGUGCCGUUUCAGAGUUUCCAGAGCGGGUGUCAUUUCAGCAGAAUCUUGGCUGGACAGGAGCCACCCCAGUCCUGGAGCAGCAUCUGCCUUCAGUGUUUUCUGACACCCCAGCACGAAGUCACCUGGAGUCCAGAUUCUUAGUUGUCACUGCGCGGUGAGCAGGACCGCAGAAGCAACCCCAUUCACCUUCUUUGGGAAGCAGAACCACGAUGCACCCAGGGCUCUUCAGCAGAUAUGUCCAGCCUCUUCCCAGGGAUGCUUCCUGCUCUGGCUGCAUCUACCUAACCCACAAAUUAAACAUCUUUCUUCCCAGCUGAGAACUCUCCCAUUGCGUAGACAGAAGGACAUCUGUGAGAAGAAAGGGUGUUGACGAAACUCACCCAGAUUCUCCUUGGGAGACUUCAUGUCACAGUGGCCAGAAUUUGAAUUAAAUCCAUCUUCACCGGAGUGUGCCUGCCAUGAUUAUAUUAGACUAACUGGGAUCUGCCCCUAAGCUGGGGAUGGAGUCAACUUCCCCAGGAUCAUGAGAGCAGAGGCAGGCACCAGAAUAGAGGUCAGGAAGGAAGAGCUGGGCCUUCUCUUCCUCCUCAAGCCAUGAGUGAAGUCUCAUUUUCCCUCAAGCAUCGCCACUCUAGGACUGGAUCUUCCUGUUUCCAAGGAAAAGAAAUUGUCCCUCCUUAUGUUCCUGUCCACUCUGUACCUACGUUUAUCUCAGCACAGGUCUGUGUUUGCACAUCUCUCUUCCAGCUAGACCCAGACGUCUCCUGUCAUAGAUACCAUAUGUGACUCACUUUUAAAUUUCCAGCACUUGGGAUAAUUCCUGCAAUA
rnacentral:lncRNA from 1 species